UCUGGAACAGCAGAGGCAACAACAAAUUCCUAAUCCAAAAACAGAUUUUUUCUUUUUUAUUAACAAAAGACCUUUUCACUAAAGAUAUACUUUGGGGUGUGCACUCUUAUUUUCCCUGAAGAUGAAGCUAAAAAUUGUCUUGGCUUUAAGAAUGAGCAACUCAACACUAAAGGAUGGGUUACCGCCAAUGUUCAGCUAGACCACUGAGGAAACCACUGGGGUUGAUUGUGCAGAAACAUGAAGUUUCUCAGUGCACAGAUGGUCCAGCUUUGACAAAAAGCUGUGUUCGUUGGCCUGGUGCCACAAGUGGCUAAAUACCCAUAUACCAAACAAACCUCAAUGGUGCUGACAGACAUCCUGUGAAUGCAAAUGAGUUGGAGGGGAG